rnacentral:rRNA from 1 species
UACGUGAGGUGGCAAGCGUUGUCCGGAAUUAUUGGGCGUAAAGCGCGCGCAGGCGGCCUCUUAAGUCUGAUGUGAAAGCCCCCCGGCUCAACCGGGGAGGGCCAUUGGAAACUGGGAGGCUUGAGUAUAGGAGAGAAGAGUGGAAUUCCACGUGUAGCGGUGAAAUGCGUAGAGAUGUGGAGGAACACCAGUGGCGAAGGCGACUCUUUGGCCUAUAACUGACGCUGAGGCGCGAAAGCGUGGGGAGCAAACAGG